rnacentral:rRNA from 1 species
AGUGAACGCUGGCGGUAGGCCUAACACAUGCAAGUCGAACGGCAGCACGGUAAGAGCUUGCUCUUACGGGUGGCGAGUGGCGGACGGGUGAGGAAUACGUCGGAAUCUACUUUUUCGUGGGGGAUAACGUAGGGAAACUUACGCUAAUACCGCAUACGACCUACGGGUGAAAGCAGGGGAUCUUCGGACCUUGCGCGAUUGAAUGAGCCGAUGUCGGAUUAGCUAGUUGGCGGGGUAAAGGCCCACCAAGGCGACGAUCCGUAGCUGGUCUGAGAGGAUGAUCAGCCACACUGGAACUGAGACACGGUCCAGACUCCUACGGGAGGCAGCAGUGGGGAAUAUUGGACAAUGGGCGCAAGCCUGAUCCAGCCAUACCGCGUGGGUGAAGAAGGCCUUCGGGUUGUAAAGCCCUUUUGUUGGGAAAGAAAAGCAGCAGGUUAAUACCCCGCUGUUCUGACGGUACCCAAAGAAUAAGCACCGGCUAACUUCGUG